AACGUAGGAGACAAACGUUAUCCGGAGUACUGGGCGUAAAGCGUGCGCAGGCGGCUUUGCAAGACAGAUGUGAAAUCCCCGGGCUUAACCUGGGAACUGCAUUUGUGACUGCAUGGCUCGAGUACGGUAGAGGGGGAUGGAAUUCCGCGUGUAGCAGUGAAAUGCGUAGAUAUGCGGAGGAACACCGAUGGCGAAGGCAGUCCCCUGGACCUGUACUGACGCUCAUGCACGAAAGCGUGGGGAGCAAACAGG
rnacentral:rRNA from 1 species